CUGUUUUUUUGUUUUUUGUUUUCCAUUUUUUUUUUGUGGUUUUGUGGUUUGUGUGUUUUUAGAAAGCGGGCG
rnacentral:ribozyme from 14 species